UUCCAGACUCCUACGGGAGGCAGCAGUGGGGAAUAUUGCACAAUGGGGGGAACCCUGAUGCAGCGACGCCGCGUGGGUGGAGAAGCGCCUCGGCGCGUAAAGCCCUGUCAGCAGGGAAGAAAAUGACGGUACCUGAAGAAGAAGCCCCGGCUAACUACGUGCCAGCAGCCGCGGUAAUACGUAGGGGGCGAGCGUUAUCCGGAUUCACUGGGUGUAAAGGGAGCGUAGACGGCCAUGCAAGCCAGGGGUGAAAGCCCGGGGCCCAACCCCGGGACUGCCCUUGGAACUGCAUGGCUGGAGUGCGGGAGGGGCAGGCGGAAUUCCUAGUGUAGCGGUGAAAUGCGUAGAUAUUAGGAGGAACACCGGUGGCGAAGGCGGCCUGCUGGACUGUGACUGACGUUGAGGCCCGAAGGCGUGGGGAGCAAACAGGAUUAGAUACCCCGGUA
rnacentral:rRNA from 1 species